rnacentral:rRNA from 1 species
AGCGAACGCUGGCGGCGUGCUUAACACAUGCAAGUCGAGUGCGCGUUUCUGUAGCAAUACGGGAAUGGCGCACGGCGCACGGGUGCGUAACACGUGGGUAAUCUGCCCUUCGAUGGGGAAUAACCCCGGGAAACCGGGGCUAACUUCCGCAUAACAUUCCGGGAACCUCGGUUCUUGGAUUCAAAGGCGUAAGUCGUCGGAGGAGGAGCCCGCGCACGAUUAGCUAGUUGGUAGGGUAACGGCCUACCAAGGCUUUGAUCGUUAGCUGGU